UUUCCGUAGGUGAACCUGCGGAAGGAUCAUUACUGUGGGGGAUUGUCCCCAUUAGAUAGAUACCCUUUGUUUAUGAGUACCACUUGUUUCCUCGGCGGGCUUGCCUGCCGGUUGGACAUUAUCAAACCUUUUUGUAGUUGCAAUCAGCGUCAGAAACAAAACAAUAAUUACAACUUUCAACAACGGAUCUCUUGGUUCUGGCAUCGAUGAAGAACGCAGC
rnacentral:misc_RNA from 1 species